rnacentral:rRNA from 1 species
CUACGGGAGGCAGCAGUGGGGAAUAUUGGACAAUGGGGGGAACCCUGAUCCAGCAAUGCCGCGUGUGUGAAGAAGGUCUUCGGAUUGUAAAGCACUUUCACUAGGGAAGAUGAUGACGGUACCUAGAGAAGAAGCCCCGGCUAACUUCGUGCCAGCAGCCGCGGUAAUACGAAGGGGGCUAGCGUUGCUCGGAAUGACUGGGCGUAAAGGGCGCGUAGGCUGUUUGUACAGUCAGAUGUGAAAUCCCCGGGCUUAACCUGGGAACUGCAUUUGAUACGUGCAGACUAGAGUCCGAGAGAGGGUUGUGGAAUUCCCAGUGUAGAGGUGAAAUUCGUAGAUAUUGGGAAGAACACCGGUUGCGAAGGCGGCAACCUGGCUCGGAACUGACGCUGAGGCGCGAAAGCGUGGGGAGCGAACAGGAUUAGAUACCCUGGUAGUCCACGCUGUAAACGAUGUGUGCUGGAUGUUGGGUGAUUUUAUCAUUCAGUGUCGGAGCUAACGCGUUAAGCACACCGCCUGGGGAGUACGGCCGCAAGGUUGAAACUCAAAGGAAUUGACGGGGGCCCGCACAAACGGUG